GUUCAUUUGCUUGAGAGUCCCCUUAAAUAUGGAAUAUAGACGAGUGUGGCUUUUUCUAAGCCUUAGCACGCUUGUAUUCCCUCUACAAAAGGGCAAAUUGAGUCACGAUUUAGGUCUCCCCGUACCCAAUAUGCAUACAUUCCCUAGGUUCAUGCAUCCACUCCACCAUUUUAUACCCUCAUCACACUUUCAUUUUUCCUCCCAUUUUGCACACGUACACCUUUAUGUUUCUUCAUUUGCACACGUGCAUCUCUUUAUCCCUUCACUUGCACACUAACACUUUUUUCAUCACUUGCACACAUACUUCAUAUUACAUUGCACAUACCAUACCUUGCCCACUCACGUGCACAUUUUCACUUAUGCAUCUUUGUUUUUUAUUACUUUUUCAAACUCAUGCCUUCACAUUGCAUACAUGCAUUCCUUCAUUUGCAUCCACUCGCAUUAUUCGUGACUUCUUCAAAGGAUCGUUAUUGGGCUUCACAAUUAAUGUGAGUGGCACCACUCAACCUUUGAAGGAAAUUUCCCCCAAUACCCCUAGGUCUAGGGUUUGCAUUCAUGUAGUGCAUCCAAAUGUAAUAAAUUCUUUGGUUAAAACAAGAAAAUCUUUGAUUAAAUCACGCAACUAGCCUUGGCUAGGUCAAGGGGUGCCUUGGAUUUUUAUCCUUGCCUUCCCCUUCGUCAAAUGUGACUCCCGAACCUUUUUCUUUGUUUGCGUGGACUAGGAGUCGUUCAAAAGGGUUUCUUACUUUUUUCCUUAAAAAAUUCACUUUUUGGGUGACUUGGUACACCCUAACUCUAUACCAAGUGGCGACUCCAUUUUUCAUAUAAAAAACCCUUUUUGACUAUUUUUCUUGGGUCAAAUCGUCGCAUUUUCAAAAGUCCCAUUUAGACCCAUUUUUCUUUUAAAUCACGAUUCAUUUUCCAAUCACAAAAAAAAAAAACACAUUUUCAAACCAUUCAUUUAUUUAUCAAAAAAUGGGGCGCGACAGUUGGCGACUCCACUGGGGACAUUCGAGAGUCCGAGCAAAUUUGAUUUAAUCAAUCUUUUCUUCUUUUAAUCUUUUCAUAUAUCACAUUUGGUGUUUAGGGUUGCAUUUUUCCUUUUUUAGGAUUUUGCAUCACUCGCGUCUCAAAUUACUCCUCGCCACGAAUGUAUGAUUGGUUGAUUGGAUGUAUGUUUAUUAUUAUCUCGCGCUUGCAUUGCAUUUGGGGGGUGUCACCUUUAGAGCCUUGCGUGGUUCUCAACCCCUUCCCUCAAAAUAGGGAACACUUCAUACGUGCACGUUUACUUAUUGUUAUCCCAUUUUAUUUUAUUUUUCGUGGGCGCUAUCCCACACCGCCUUGUAGGAUUAGGAUCGAUCGCCUUGGGUAGGCGGCUGGUGUGCGCUGCGCCCAUAGCGCUACCUAAGGGAUCACUCGAGCCACCGAUCGAAGGCCUUGGGAGUGAUGACCCUUUGCUUUAGGUCUGAAGGCUUGGGAGCCGAAGCCUUAUCGAGUCUAGUUGCAUUAGUUAGCCCCAGCCUCAUGCAUCCAUGUUAGCAUUUUCCUAGGUUAGAGUCAGCCUCACCCUCUUUAAGCACAUUAGGCACGAGGGAAGGGGUUCCACCCUUUUACUUGCUUUUAUUGUAUUUCUUUUCUUAAUUGCUCCUAAUGUGUUAUGUGAACUAUCAAUUGCACUAACCAUUCUUUUGUUUUCUUGGAUUGCAUUCAUGGGCCUUAGCAAUAAGAGGCCUUUUGGCACUCUUUAGUGACUUACCUACUAGAUAACUCACAUGUUUAAAUUUCAGUCAUUACACUUAAUUUUCAGUAAGUACAUUUUUUCAUUUUUAGACCUUUUUCCCCCCGAUGCAUUAUUUAUGUCCUUUAGGCCAUAUUUGUGACAUAUUUACAUCGCUUUAAUAAAUGGCAUCAUGCAUCCACCUUAGAAGGGAAUGCCACAUAGGGAAUCCCGUUUUAGAAAUCAGCCAUGUCUCGGAUAUAUAAUCCAAUGAGACUUGCACGUUUACCUUUCUCGUACCAUCCAAAGGGGUAGUGCACAAGGUAAGGUAGGAUCCGAUCAUUUUUCAUAAAGCGAUCCUUGGAAUAUGAGCAUCUAAUAAUCGCUUUUUGGCCAUUUUUUAAACCUAACUGGUAAAAAUCCCUUGCGUAAAGGACAUUAAUUUGAAGAAAUUCACAAAUGAUUCCUCCUUUUUGAGACGAUAAAUAAACUGAGGCCAAAUCGUGAUUUUAGAAGGCUCAUAGACUAAUUUUUUGAAACCAUCAAUGGCGGAACGAUUCAAUCGAUCCAUUUUGUCAAUUCAUAAUCAAUUUUGAAUAAAUCAAUUCAUUGGAGCCAAUUUACCCUUUUAGGGUGAUUUGGUCGAUUUUUGCAUAAAUCAUCAAUCUCCAUUUUAUUCAUUGGACCAAUUUACUCAUUUCUUAGGUCAAUUCAAUCAAUUUUGAAUAAGUCAUCCGAUUUCAUUUGACUAGUUUACCCUUUUUAGGGUGAUCUAGUCAAUUUUGAAUCAAUCAUUCGAUCCAUUGGACCGAUUUGCCUAGUUUUAGGGCGAGUUGGUCAAAUCAUCAUUUCACUCGAUCUGUUUGAUCAAUUGACUUCAUUCAAUUCAUUUGAUUAGUUUAAUUCAUUCUUAGGGUUAUCCAUUCAAUUUUGAAUAAAUGCAUUUGACCAUUUUACCCUUUUUGAAGGCGAUUCGGUCGAUUUUUGAAUAAUCAUCCAUUUUAUCCAAUCCAUUUUGUCAAUUCAUUCAUCAUUUGACCAAUUCAUUUGACCAAUUUACCCUUUUUAGGGUCAUCAGGUCGAUUUUGAAUAAAUCGUCAAUUCAUUUGACCAAUUUACCCUUUUUAGGGUCAUCAGGUCGAUUUUGAAUAAAUCGUCAAUUCAUUUGACCAAUUUCCCUUUUUAGGGUCAUCCGGUCGAUUUUAAUAAAUUGUCAAUUUCAUUUGAUCAAUUAGGUUUCAAUGUCGAAUUUCAAAAUGGAAAACCUAGUCGAUUUUGAGAAAACAUCCAUUGCAUCCAGCCAUUUGAUCAGUUGGAGUUUUGACCCGUGCUCACUGAGAAAAGUUGUCAAAACGAAUUCCAAUCUCUUCGAUAGGAAGUUCGUCAAGGUCAAACCCGUACGUUUUUCAAAAUUCUUGUAUCGAUCAAAAGUGAUCAAUCCCUUCGGACGAGGUCCUCAUUUUGACAACGUCUCUUCUCAUUCCAAUGGGCCAAAUUUUUAAAAUUAUUUUUCACUCAUGAGUUGAUCGGAUCCAUCAGGUAUGUAUAGUGCCUACUCUAGAGGAUUGCAUUUUCAUGCUAGGCCUACCCUUGGCACAAAAAGGGUUCCCCCAUAGGACAUGCAUACCGAUUUUGCAGUUUUGCCUACUAACUCUGGGUAUUUUUUUUUUUGUUUUCCCCCUCCCUGCAUUCAUAAAAAUGUUUCAAUAAGACGAAAAUAUUCUUCUAUAUCUGAUGAUAAUUUUAAUCCAAUAAAGUUUGAAGAUUACAAGUGUUAUUUGAUUCUGGGCAGAUCCUACAAUGAAAACAUAAAUGAUCUAUCUGGAAGCUCUACGCUAAAGCCUCUGAGAGAUUUUGUAAUUGUUUUCCAAAGGGAAAUUUGUAUAUUUGAUUUGUUAAUACAUUUUGUUCAAAAGAAAAGGAGACAAAAAGUGUAUAUGUGGAGCUCUUUACAAGUUUCUCUCUUCUCAUUUGUAUCGUAAUUGAAUGAGAAAUUUUGUUUCAAACUUUUUCAGUAAUAAAAUUUUUGGACAAUCAUUGUUUUGUGUAUAUUUAUGUACAUUUCAUUCUUUAUUCUUACUCAUUGGAGAUUUCAUGAUGAAUUUUGAAAAUAAAACUAAGUUGAGAUUUUUUCAACCUCCAGCCUGAAUUUCACAAGUGUAUACUCUCCUAAAAUCCUUACACUCGAUUGGCAAUCCGAGCCAUACAAUAAGAGUGAUCAGGAAAAGAGGUGAAUGGUCACUCAAAAGGCCAAUGAGAUACCUUCACUUAACCCCAAAAUAAAACAGUCACAUUGAUUGAUAAAUUGCAAAUUGGGGCCAUCUUUGCUUGAAAAUAUCCAUUGUGUUUAACCGAUUCAAUUCACAUCUAAGUGAAAGCAAAAAUGUGCAUUAUUCUUGUUUGUUUUGAAAAGUUGGAAUGAUACUUUGAGCAGUCUUUUCUCUAUCUAUACAGAGUUUAUCAUUUGCUCUCCCGUUUGAUCCUUUAAAAGAAUAAUUUCGUUUCAAAUAAGCGCCUUGAUGAUCACUACCCUACAUGGAAAAUUGUUAAAUAUCAAAAGGGAGUGGAUUUUCAAUGAGCAUUGCGUUACUCUGAUUGUCAUGAGGUGUAAGAAUGAUACUUUGGCCAUCAUUUAUACGACCUAAACACCAUUUAUCCCUUGCAUCCUCAUUUGAGCCAAAAAAAAAAUUUGGUGGUUCUUUUCGAGUGCACAUAUGAUCGCACCCCACAUUGGGGAAGGAGAUUGGGGAAUUUUGAAAAAGGAAAAAAAAGAAAAAGGGGAAAGGGAACCGCAGAUUGGAAAAAUUUGAUUCCACUUGGGUUCCAAUUUUGAAAAGAAGAAAAGGAAGAGAUUUAUCCGCACGGACCGCCUAUGUGUCACAAAUAUGGAUGAAUAAGGGUCUUCCUCAGUCAGUAAUUCAGAUACAUGCAAAAAAUUUCGCAUUAACGAAAGUUUCCUUUCAGAGUUAUUGUAAGGGACGGAACAAAGGUCAGGCCCUCUUCUUUUUCCAAUCAAACAUUCUAUCCCUAGUUAUCCCUUUUGAGCCAUCAGAAUAAAAUAUUCAUUUGGCAACCCCUGAGAAUCGCAAACCCCACACUGGGGCAAGUUGGAGUUGAAAAGGAAAAUUUCAAGAAGUGAAAAGUGACAAUGCCGCAAAAUCAAAAGAAAAGAAAAAAGAGAACCUCAGUACAAAAGUAAACUGGGGUAAAUUUUGUGAAAGUUCAAAAGAAUGGCAAAAGCUGAAAAAUCAAAAAAGAAAGAAAAUGAAAGAGAAAAAGCCUCAAUUGAGCAUAAACUGGGGCAAAAUUUUGAUUUAACCCUAAAAUAGGGUUGGCACAACAAUGCGAUCUCAGAUUACUUAAACCAUUCUUGAAAUCUGCUUUCAAGCCUUAACUCUUCUAAACACCCCACCUGACCCCAUUACAAAAGCCGAAAGUCCUGACUUCUGUUCUUUGCAAUGGCCCUGUCAAGAAAAUUUCUGAUGUCGAGAAAUUUUAGCUGUAUUUCUGAAUUGCUUGGGUAUGGGGUUGACGCUACUCACCAAGUGAAAACCCACCAAAUUGAGGGAAAGGAAAAGAGGCAAAAAGCAAAGCAAGAAAAGUAAAUGCAAGAAGAUGGCAGAAAAAUUCGACGCUGAAGUCCCUGGGAAUGAUGAGAAAAUCCAAACAAAGUCUGAAAUCUUUGAGUUCAAAAUAGGGGCAAUUUUGGAAAAAUGCGAUUUUUGGUGCGAUAUCCUUGAAAGAUUUAUUCUUUAGCUAUCGUUUUCAAGCCAAAUUACAAGCUAAUAAAGUCCAUCGUUGACUUAUUCCUUCAUGACAAUCCAAAGUGAGAAUCAUGCUCAUAAGAAAUUCAUCAGAUCAUUUGUGAUCAUAAGGGUAUAACCCGUUUCCACAUGUUUAGCUAUCACUUCUGUCCAUACGUUACAAGCCUAGAAAGCUUGUAUGUUGACUAAGUUUUCUUAAAAAUAAGAAUGGACAAACUCUUUGCUUUCACUAAGAUGUGACAUUGAAUGGAUUAUAUACAAUUUUGGACACAAGAACAAGACAAAUCUUGACCUCUCAUUUUCUUUAGCCACCUCAGAAUCAGAAAUAAAGUCACUUGAUUGGUCCUGACAGAUGAGCCAACAAGAAAUGGUGACCCAUUACCUAAAGCAUUGAUGCUAGAGUGGAGAAGAAAUCUUUCGUAAUUUGGCAUUAUUUUGAGAAAUUCAUCAUAAAAUGUGCUAUAUCAGUUUAAGCAAGACAUUCAAUUUUCUUCACAUGAUAUGUUAGGAAAAGCAAUUGCUUACCCUGCUCAAAUAAAUGGAGUGUCAUCUAAACAAAUUUUUUGCAAUUGAAUAAGCCCACGCUGGGGCAAAUUUUCAUUUGAGGGAUUUUACAAAAUAGGCCCAUAAUGGGGCAAAUUUUCAUUUACAAGAUUUCGCAAAUUGUGCCCACACUGGGGCAAAUUUUUAUUCAUGGGCUUUCACAGAAUAAGCCCACACUGGGGCAAAAUUUUUAUAGUUCAUUUGAGGAUUUCGUCCAAGAAUCAAAUAAUGCAUUUUUCAAAUCAAUCACGCUGUUUCUUUUCAUGAAAUUCAAGUGCAUGUCAUAUUUUGGUAAGCCCUGUUCAGGUAUUCAUAGUUGAAAUCGACGAAGGAGCAUCUGGUGAUGUGGAAAGCAGACGCCGAAGAAAGAAAAGAAAGAAGGGAAAAAGGGACCCUACACUGAGGGCAAUUUAUUUUGAAAAAGAUUUUCUCGAAAAAUCAGAAAAUUCAAAAUUCAAAAAAUCAAAAAUCAAGUUCAAAUUCUUGUUUCUUGGAAAAUCAAAUUUCUUGUUUCUUGACAAUCACACUUAAUUUCUUGACCAAUUGAGUGGCAGGACUGGGUCUUAUCCCACUGGCCAUUCACAAAUAUCACAUUGGGCCUGGACUUCGUGCCGCCAACCUUCCAAAAAUCAAGUUGGGCCUGGAUUUCGUGCCGCCAACCUCCAAAAAUCACGUUGGGCCGGGAUUUCGUGCCGCCAACAUCACAAAUCACGUCGGGCCUGGACUUUGUGCCGCCGACAUCCUAUUGAGUCUGAAAUUUGUGCCGCCAGUGCAACCAAGGCAGGCUUGGGUGUAAUCCCACUAAUCAAUUCAUCAUACUGGGGCAAAUUAUUUUGGGAAGUUUUUCAAAAAAUCAAAAAAAAAUCAAAAAAAAUCAAAAAAUCAAAAAAAUCAAAAAACCAAAAAAAAUCAGGAAAAAAAAGAAGAAAAGAAAAGAAUCAAAAUCAAAAUCAAAUCAAGUUUCAUCACGACAGGUUUGGGCUUAAUCCCACUGACCGAUUGUCAAAGCAUUUUCGGGUCAGUCCCAUGAUUAAAAGCAUUUUCGGGUCAGUUCCAUGAUCAAAAGUUUAUUCGGGUCAGUCCCACGAUUCAAAGUUUAUUCGGGUCAGUCCCGUGAUUCAAAGCCUGUUCGGGUCAGUCCCGCGAUUAAAAUCUUAUUCGGGUCAGUCCCACGAUCAAAAGCAUUUUCGGGUCAGUCCCAGGAUUCAAAGCUUAUUCGGGUCAGUCCCACGAUUCAAAGUUUAUUCGGGUCAGUCCCGUGAUUCAAAGCCUGUUCGGGUCAGUCCCGCGAUUAAAAGCUUAUUCGGGUCAGUCCGCGAUUAAAAUCUUAUUCGGGUCAGUCCCACGAUUCAAAGCUUAUUCGGGUCAGUCCCACGAUUCAAAGCUUAUGCGGGUCAGACCCACAAUUCAAAGCCUGUUCGGGUCAGUCCUGCGAUUCAAAGCUUAUUCGGGUCAGUCCGCGAUUAAAGCUUGUUCGGGCCAGUCCCAUGAUUUGAAUGUCCCGCUCUAGUCAGUCCCAAUUUUAAUUUUUCUGUUCGGGUCAGUCCCGUUUAAAUUCUUGUUCGGGUCAGUCCCGUUUAAAUUCUGUUCGGGUCAGUCCCGUUUAAAUUCUUGUUCGGGUCAGUCCCGUUUAAGUCCAGUUUGGGUCAGUCCCGUUUAAAAAUUCUGUUCGGGUCAGUCCCGUUUAAAUUCCUGUUCGGGUCAGUCCCGUUUAAAUUUCUGUUCGGGUCAGUCCCGUUUAAAUUCCUGUUCGGGUCAAUCCCGUUUAAAUGUCUGUUCGGGUCAGUCCCGUUUUAAUUUUUGUUCGGGUCAGUCCCGUUUAAAUUCUGGUUCGGGUCAGUCCCGUUUAAAUUUCUGUUCGGGUCAGUCCCGUUUUAAAAAAUUUCUGUUCGUGUCAGUCCCGUUUUAAAUUUCUGUUCGGGUCAGUCCCGUUUAAAAUUCUGUUCGGGUCAGUCCCGUUUAAAUUCCUGUUCGGGUCAGUCCCGUUUAAAUGUCUGUUCGGGUCAGUCCCGUUUUAAUUUUUGUUCGGGUCAGUCCCGUUUUAAUUCUGGUUCGGGUCAGUCCCGUUUAAAUUUCUGUUCGGGUCAGUCCCGUUUAAAUUCUGUUCGGGUCAGUCCCGUUUAAUUUCUGUUCGGGUCAGUCCCGUUUAAAUUCUUGUUCGGGUCAGUCCCGUUUUAAAUUUCUGUUCGGGUCAGUCCCGUUUAAAUUCUGUUCGGGUCAGUCCCGUUUAAAUUCCUGUUCGGGUCAGUCCCGUUUAAAUUUCUGUCUCGGGUCAGUCCCGAUUUUAAAAUUUCCUGUCAGGGUCAGUCCCCAUCGUUUGAGUAAUUCGCAGCCGAAUAAUGCAGGUAAGUAUUUGGUGUCUACUUCUUUGUCUCAAGUUUUUCCAAAACUCAGACAAAGAGGGGCAAACUGUAGACACCAAAUUUUUGGUGUUUUAUUAUUUAUUUAUUUACUAUUCGUUUUUUAUUUGUUCUAUUUUAUUUGUCACAAUUAGUUUUUAGUUUUAGUUAUUUUAGCCAUUUUAGCGUAGAAUGUCUCGAAAAAAAGAAGGAAAAGAAAAAGCUUUAAAAAAAAAUGCUUUAGUUGUUUUGAUUUAAAUUCAAUGUUUUCUUGAAAAAUAAAAAAAUAUAUAUAUAAAAAAAAAGAGAGAAAAUUGUUCGCUAAAAUGUGUUUAUUUCUUUUAAAUUCAAUUUUGUAGCGUUUCUUUUAAAAAAACAUUUCAUUACGUGUUAAAAAAUGAAAAAAGAAGAGACAGGCUCAUGGACCAUGAGAAGUGUAGGAUUAUAACCUUUCCUCAUUGUUUCUUUUCGGCAAAACGCAGAUACAAAAAUUGUUUCUUAGCUCAUUUGCCGGUUUUCCCUUCAUUUUAUUUUACUCCGUUUGAUCACUCCACUUGGCCCUCAUCUGUCAUUUAAGAAAAAGCUGGAAGUUGAAGAUGAUCGGAUGGUCGAGGAAAUGCGGUGAGAUGAGAUUUGCUAAGGGCCUUUGAUAUCAGGUUUUUGGAGGGUUUAGCCAUUCGGGAGGAGGAUAAAAGGAAAAAGAAAGGGACCAGAGUGAGGGGAGUUUUUUGGAGUUGACGGCUAAAGAGGCUCUGGGACGGCUAAGAAAAGAAAAACCAGAGGAGGAAAGAGCAACGGGGAAAUCUGGGCAGUAGCUACAGCUUGCAGCUGGAAAGGAGAACAAAAGGAAGUAAGAAAAGGGGAAUCUGAGAACUUGAGAGGAAGGAAGAAACAGAGGAGAGGGGGAGACGGAUAUAGAGGAGCAGGCCAUUCAUAAGAGCUGCGGGCCAGGAGCAAGAAGAAAAAAGGCCGUGACUGAAGCCGCCGCUGCCACCAUCGGAAUUGUCCAGCGUCACCUGCAAAUUUUCGUCAAGCAAAAGCACGGCUUUUGGUUUGGGCUAGAGAGGAAAACCGCUGCCGGCCCAGACUUUUCCUCAACGGCGUCUGCCCAAGCCACCUCCAGGCCGCACCCGUCGUUGUUGCUGUCCGCCAUCGCCACCUUCCAACUCCCGCUGCCAUCGCUGCCACCGUAGCCAUCGGAGCAGUAGAGGCUUCUACUACCACCUCUCUGUCAAUCCAUCACCACCGCUUGCAAGUGUCACCAAGAAAACCCUGGGCAAGGUUUGGCUGGACCCCAGUGAAAGCAACGAAAUCUCCGUGGCCAAUUCCAGAAUGAAGGUGACGAAGGGAAAGGGACGACAGUCUGGAUACGGUAAACUGUCUUUUUCCUUUCGAAUUUCAGUUUUUUCUUCAAAAGCUCCCGGAACCUGCCCAUGCCUUGGUUUGUAGCAAUUUCUUGUCAACUAUCUGAGAAUUUUGAGUAUGUAUGUUAUACAUGAUGAUUGGAAUUGAAAUCCUGGGUUCUCUGACAAAUUUUGUGGGCCGAUUCUAGCUUCAAUAGAGUAAAGAAUUGAUAAAAUUUUUAAUACCUUUAACAUGUUUGAUGAAAUGCUUGAGUGAAAAUUAUAUUAGAUGGUUGAAUCGUCUGCAUUUUGCUACGUGAAAAAUGAUGAAUAGAAAACAAGAGCAGUAUUUAUUAGAACGUAAUAGUUGCUUUUCAUGGCAGAAAUGGGAGUUUCGAUCUUGAUAUACUUGUGUGCGGCACCUUCUCCGUUUUUUUUUCUGUUUCUUGAUUCUUCCCUUGGUAUGAAUUCAGUUAUGUCGUGAGUUUGUGUGUAAGGAAGUUUGGGUGAGCUUCGUUUUAUUUUGGAGGGAAGCCAGGGGAAUUGAAGUGGAACUUUCUGAUAUUUUUAUGCUGUGUAGAAAGGAUAAAUGGCCACUGAUGUUCUUUGGAAUUUUCGAUGUUUAAUAUUCAUGAUUGGAUUUUGAUCAAUCCAGAGAGGUCUGAGUUUGUUAGAGGGUUUUGUUCACUUGGAAAUCUGUUCCAUGUAGUUCCUGGGAUGAGUUACAAAUGAAAGAAUGCAGAAGAAUGCUUGCUUCGAUGCUUGGCAUGCAUGUUGCCAUCUUAUUCCUUUCCUUUGUUGUUGUGCUUAUUGUUGUGCAAACACUUAAGUAGCCCAGAUUUGCUGUUGUCAAAUUGGAUUCACUGUAAUUGUCUUCCUUUAGCACCAUUGCUGCAUUUUUAUGUCUAGAUUGAUUAUGAUAUGAUCAGGUUUUAAUGUUUUUUUAGUUACCUUAUUAUUUUGAUGGGUUUAACAAAAAUUAGUUUGGAAUUGGAUUAGGUUUAUUUUGAUUGGAGUCUUGAUGGUGUUUGUUUGUUUGGAUUGGGUGUUGUUUUGCUUAUUUCCUGAGCUAGUAAUUUGGUUUGGGAGUUAAAAGCCCAUGCAUUUUGUUGGGUUUUUACUUGAUAAAAAUAAUGGGCUGGCCAUUUCAUUUGCUUUGGAUUUUCAAAUGGACCUGGAAAGCUUCAGCCCAGAAAGUAGACAAAAGUUGGCCCAGUGGCCUUGUCUCUUAAGAAACCAGAAAAUGAUUUUGCAAAUCAGUCCCUGAAUUUCUCCUUAACUAUACUAUGGCCCUAGACAUUUUUCACUUCUUUCAAUUGGGUCCCUAACUUAAUUGCAAAUGGGCCCUAGACUUUAUUUUAUUUUGACCUCAAAGCUUUGUUAAUUUGCAAUCAAAUCCUUUCUUCUUUUGAUUUCUUAAAUGUGGGUUGUCUACAUGAUUUAAUUGAUUCAAUUUCAUGUUUACUUUUAUCUUUUUGUGAUUAUUUCUGGAUUAAAGUGAUGCCUUGACUCUUUUAUUAUUUUGGAGGGUAAAUUAGUAACUUCACUACGUUAGGGCGUCGAUUCAAGGGAGGUACAUUCUACCCCUUAUAUUUGCACUUCAUUUGACCCUACGUGCUCCUACGUGUUAUGUGAAUAUGCAUGUCUACUUCGCUUUUCUUGCCUUCCCUUAAUUCCUUGCAUUUAUUUCAUCUACUUUUACUUUUAUUUAAGUUAUUCAUUAUGGGGUAUGUGUACACCUCUUGGCUUGUAAUAGAUAGGGCUUGGCGAGCUUUCUUGUCCAUUUUCCCUUUCCCCCCCUUUGUUUUAGUUUAGCAAAUGUAAUAAGUUCAUUGCUUGCUUUCGUUGCUACGUGUUUAAUCGCUUUAUUAGGUCCUUGCAUCUAGUCAAGCAUGCUAAGUGUUAUGUGCUACGUGUUUAUAAGUGAUUCGCAUGUCUACUCGCUUUUUAUAGUCAUGAAUGAAUGUGAUGAUGAAUGGACGUCACCACACUAGUCCAAUGCUAGUUGUGGUCCCCUUUCCCGUCACCACACUAGUCCAACGCUAGUUGUGGUUCAUUGUUCCGUUUCCACUAGUCCAAUGCUAGUCGGAAUUCAUAGAAUGGCUAGUCCAACGCUAGACCCUUAGGGAUUUCCCCUCGUUAGUACAUGUUUGCAUGUUCAUCACAUGUCAUGCAUUCUUUUUAGUUUUAUCAUUUUUGCAUGCCCCUCGAACCCCUUUUCCCUCAAUUUUAGGACUUUUGCAUUUCAUGCUAGCUAUAGGGUUCAUUUGCUUGAGAGUCCCCUUAAAUAUGGAAUAUAGACGAGUGUGGCUUUUUCUAAGCCUUAGCACGCUUGUAUUCCCUCUACAAAGGGCAAAUUGAGUCACGAUUUAGGUCUCCCCGUACCCAAUAUGCAUACAUUCCCUAGGUUCAUGCAUCCACUCCACCAUUUUAUACCCUCAUCACACUUUCAUUUUUCCCCAUUUUGCACACGUACACCUUUAUGUUUCUUCAUUUGCACACGUGCAUCUCUUUAUCCCUUCACUUGCACACUAACACUUUUUUAUCAUCACUUGCACACAUACACUUCAUAUUACCAUUGCACAUACCAUACCUUGCCCACUCACGUGCACAUUUUCACUUAUGCAUCUUUGUUUUUUAUUACUUUUUUCAAACUCAUGCCUUCACAUUGCAUACAUGCAUUCCCUUCAUUUGCAUCCCACUCGCAUUAUUCGUGACUUCUUCAAAGGAUCGUUAUUGGGCUUCACAAUUAAUGUGAGUGGCACCACUCAACCUUUGAAGGGAAAUUUCCCCCAAUACCCCUAGGUCUAGGGUUUGCAUUCAUGUAGUGCAUCCAAAUGUAAUAAAUUCUUUGGUUAAAACAAGAAAAUCUUUGAUUAAAUCACGCAACCAGCCUUGGCUAGGUCAAAGGGGUGCCUUGGAUUUUUAUCCUUGCCUUCCCCUUCGUCAAAUGUGACUCCCGAACCUUUUUCUUUGUUUGCGUGGACUAGGAGUCGUUCAAAAGGGUUUCUUACUUUUUUCCUUAAAAAAUUCACUUUUUGGGUGACUUGGUACACCCUAACUCUAUACCAAGUGGCGACUCCAUUUUUCAUAUAAAAAACCCUUUUUGGACUAUUUUUCUUGGGUCAAAUCGUCGCAUUUUCAAAAGUCCCAUUUAGACCAUUUUUCUUUUAAAUCACGAUUCAUUUUCCAAUCACAAAAAAAAAAAAAAAA
rnacentral:lncRNA from 1 species